GCGGAGGUUGCCCAGCCUGGUUAAAGGCGCUAGGUUGAGGUUCUCGUAGGAGUUCGCGAGUUCAAAUCUCGCCCUCCGCACCA
rnacentral:tRNA from 1 species